UACGGGGGGGGCAAGCGUUGUUCGGAAUUACUGGGCGUAAAGGGCUCGUAGGCGGCCAACUAAGUCAGACGUGAAAUCCCUCGGCUUAACCGGGGAACUGCGUCUGAUACUGGAUGGCUUGAGAUUGGGAGAGGGAUGCGGAAUUCCUGGUGUAGCGGUGAAAUGCGCAGAUAUCAGGAGGAACACCGGUGGCGAAGGCGGAUCUCUGGGCCUUACCUGACGCUGAGGCGCGAAAGCUAGGGGAGCGAACAGG
rnacentral:rRNA from 1 species